ACCAAUAUUUCUAUUUCUCUUGUCAUUUGGGUCAUUGCUGUUGUCGUUGUUGUCGUUGUUGCUAUUGUUGCUGUUGUUGUAUUGGAUGGCCAAUACGCGGAGGAGCCAAUGAACUAUCGUGUCAUCCUUCUUCUCCAAGAAACAAAAACAUGAUAAUCAUCCAUCCUUUCAUAAAAAUUAGACAUUUUUACAAACGAAAAAAAAAAAAAAAAAAA
rnacentral:ribozyme from 1 species